rnacentral:tRNA from 1 species
GAUUCCGUAGUGUAGCGGUUAUCACAUCUGCCUAACACGCAGAAGGUCCCCGGUUCGAGCACGGGCGGAAUCA